GAUCACGCUACUAAUUAAAUUACUUUAAUUAAAAUUGGAUUAAAAUAUACCCCUCUACAAAAUCCUUGGGUGACGCCCGCGAAGAUCCAACUACGAUUUUUCGGUGCACAGGCGCGCCAAUAGAAAGAAAAUCGAUGAUUGUCGAUUUCUAGUUUAGUUGGUCACGAACUCAGAAAGAGGCAACACAUCGUCAUUACUUAGGUGACGGAGUUUGGGCAAAAUUGGGAAAAUAUAUAACUAAAAGACCUCGAACAUCAGCCAAUAACCCAUACUAAUAAAAAUCAAGCAGUAGUUAUAUCUGGAGACUUAUUUACAAGAAAGGAAAAAGGUUAUAAUACCGCCGAUGUGUUGCUUUGCUCAAAUUCCGUCCCUUAGCUACUUGUCACAUAGACACUUAGCCUAGUCAAUUUAUAUAGAUUGGAUCAUCAUUUAAUGUGCCAUCAUAUAAAUAUGUGCCAGUUACUGUAAGCAGCUAGGGUAUGGGUUACUCCUAGAGUUACUUUGGAUUGGAUUUAUCACCACAGCAGCCCACUAGUUUUUGCCGUGCCAAGAGGAAAUUCAUUCCUAUCUGGACCUUUUAAAUAGGAACUGUGGUUAAGAUAAGUUGUUUAAUCUUAUUAUUUACAUAUUUUGGGUACUCUAUAGUUGCUUGCACUGUAAACUUCUUGUAUGCAUACAAUUGAGGUAAACUAGGUACAUAUUUCUUGAUAGAUAGGGUUUUAGGUCCUUGGUUUUUUUUUUGAUUUAAUAUAAGUAGUAGUUUCCAAUAAAUAAAAUUAGGUCUUGUUCAAUAAUCAUUAUAAAUAAUAAUUGUAGCUUAAAAAUUUGAUAGGGAAGGGGUCGUUAAAGGUUUGUCGCGGAUUUCAAAUAGGGAAUAUGUCUUGUAGGUUUUUACAUUGUAUAUAAAGAGUAACUGACCAACUCAUUUAUACAACUCAUUUAUAUCACUCAUUUAUAUAACUCAUUUAUAUAACUCAUUAUAUAUUUACUUAUUAGUGUUUUUGGCUAGGUGAGAUCUUUAUUAUUUUUGGUAACCGUAGCGUUCUUGUUGUGGAUCUCACUCUAGCGUAGUUCAAUUUAGGAAAUAAUUACUAACUUUUUAGUUGUAAGGACUUAGUGCUAUUCUGACGGACUUUUGCUUUGGAUUUUGAUUUUAAUACCUUUGCUUGGCCAGUGAUAGUGGAUAAUUGCUUGUUAAGUGGCCUUUGCGGUCCUAUUUUAUCUUUUCCCCAUCCACUAUCACUGUUAUUACGUUGCGUUAUAUGUAAAUUGUUAGUAUUUAACAUUUAUUAUUAAUAUAUUUGUAUGUAUUAA
rnacentral:lncRNA from 1 species